rnacentral:rRNA from 1 species
GAAGACGACGACGUUGAUAGGUCGGGUGUGUAAGCGCAGCGAUGCGUUGAGCUAACCGAUACUAAUGAACCGUGAGGCUUAACCUUACAACGCCGAAG